AGUGAACGCUGGCGGUAGGCCUAACACAUGCAAGUCGAACGGCAGCACAGUAAGAGCUUGCUCUUACGGGUGGCGAGUGGCGGACGGGUGAGGAAUACAUCGGAAUCUACUUUUUCGUGGGGGAUAACGUAGGGAAACUUACGCUAAUACCGCAUACGACCUACGGGUGAAAGCAGGGGAUCUUCGGACCUUGCGCGAUUGAAUGAGCCGAUGUCGGAUUAGCUAGUUGGCGGGGUAAAGGCCCACCAAGGCGACGACCCGUAGCUGGUCUGAGAGGAUGAUCAGCCACACUGGAACUGAGACACGGUCCAGACUCCUACGGGAGGCAGCAGUGGGGAAUAUUGGACAAUGGGCGCAAGCCUGAUCCAGCCAUACCGCGUGGGUGAAGAAGGCCUUCGGGUUGUAAAGCCCUUUUGUUGGGAAAGAAAAGCAGCAGGUUAAUACCCCGCUGUUCUGACGGUACCAAAAGAAUAAGCACCGGCUAACUUCGUG
rnacentral:rRNA from 1 species